GCAGGAGCCACCUGUGGGUGGAGGGCCAGAUUAUCCGUGGUCCUGUGGCCCUCCCCACCCCCGCCUCCCUGGUUCGGUUCCCAGGAAGAUGGGGAUAGAGGCAUUGGUGACCCCAGGGGAGACUUGGGCUAUUUGUGUCCUUUCUUUCAAGGCUGGCCAUCUGUAGUUGAAGUGGAGGUCAUUCUUGAUGCCCCCACUUUGUGGGCCGCCAAAAUCCCACUGGCCUGUCCCGGGACUCCCCCUUUUACCUCCUUCUACCUGAUUUUGGGGGGCUGAAGCUCAGGCACUUUCCCAGCUGGGGCACUCAGCAACCUUCCCAUGGCUCGGGACCAUGGCUGGCCCAGGGCAGGGGAGGCGCCAAGCUGAAGGACCCCCCAGAACCUAAAUCUGGGACCUGCUCCUGCCUUAUGGCUUGGCCCUGUUACCUGCUCUUGGAGCUGGGGGCCUGUGCCCACCGCUGACACUCCUGCCCCAUGCACUGCCCGACUAGCUGGUUAGGCCUUCCCCAGUGAAGGCCCCCAUUCAGUCAGAGCCAGGGCCUCCUCAGAGGGCAGCCUGGGCAUCACAGCCUUGGGAUGGGGUUCACUCAGAAGCGUGCUGGGGCAACCCCUCACCACCCCUCAUCAGUGGGCAAUGGAUUCAGUCUGUGCCGGCCCGGGAGUGCCUGAGCAGGUCCCAAGGGAGCUGUCUCUGCUUGACCCUCCAUGGUUCCAGAGCAGCAGCUGAGACAUGAAAUUGUGCUUGCUUAUAGGAACCAAGGCAGAACAAUGCCAGGUGGCCAACGGCAGAACCGGUCCCAACCAGAAAGGUCCAAGAUGGCGAUGGGGUGCCCUGCGCAAAACGAAACGUGUGCCAAAGGUGCCAUGUGCAGGAAAGGAAGGUCAGCGCAUGCCCCAAGUGCUCCUGCCCCAGCGACGACGUGGAGACCCCUCCCCCUGCACAUCCCAUAAGAGCCUGGCUCACCUGCCCUUCUGGGAGAAGGUGCUUUAGGCCUCCUCCAUCCACUGAUGGGUGAAUAACGCUUCUGCUCUGCUAU